GGCGGCGUAGCUCAGUUGGUGAGAGCGCACGGCUCAUAAUCGUGAGGUCGUCGGUUCGAGCCCGACCGCCGCUACCA
rnacentral:tRNA from 1 species